rnacentral:lncRNA from 1 species
AAUUUUCAAAUAUGAGUAAUGUAAUUUAGUGGGUUUUGUUUUUUGAAGACAUCCAAAUAGAAGUGGGAGGCUGUGUGCAGAACUGCCAGAUACUGACUAGCAUCGACUUAAAGCAAUGCUAUCUGUAAAGCAGCAAUAAAACAAUAGGAAGCUGCACUGCAGUGGAUUCUGGCAGGAGUCACUCUUAGCCAUGUGAAGGCUUAACCUUGAUGUCCCUUUUUGAAAAUUAGUUGAGAAUGUUGUGGUUAUUUAAAGGAUAUAUAUGCAUGUAUAUAUAUUGCUAGGGGAUGAAUACUGGGACCAUUACGAGCAGGUACGGUCUUUCACAUCUACCAUAUCCAAAAGGAGAACUUCUUACAUAUUCCACAAAGCGUAGAAAGGAAAUUUUUCUCCAGCAGAAAGAUAGUUUCUACAGUGUGCUUAGAGAGGAGGUUUAUUUUGUUUUGGCUGUUGCUGGCUUUGUUUUUUCCCUUGAAAGCCUAUUUUGUGAUUGUAGAAUGAUGUCAGUUGUCCUCAGUGGCAGACUUGAUGUGUUGAUCACUCACUGUUACAGGGGAUCACAAAAGAUAUCUUCGGUCCAAAGAAAAUCUCCCUGAAAGAUAUUAGAUAUUUAAAUAACUAUAACAUGCAAUAACUUUAACAUGCUAUGCAUUUCCAGGGUUGUUUUUGGUUGUUUCUUUUUUCAAUUUUUGCUAGGUUGUAUGUGUGAUCACUGUGUUUAGGGGAUGCCCUUCCAGCAAUGCAAAAGCAGCUGCAGGUCUGUAUGAAGACACUGUAUAUUUUUUCCUCUGCUGGCCUGGUUCAGAAACAUUGGCAAAACUUUCAUGGACUGACCGGUGUGCCAGAGUUCUAGCAUGGUAUUGUAGCUUUGGGAGGGUAAACUUUAUCAAAUAUAUGAUAUUAUAAAAACAAAGAACUCUGGUGUGUGUACACAUGCUAUUUAGUGCAAUUAGUUCUAUGGGCAGGCCAACAGAGUAGAUAUUCUGUACCUCUAGAUGAGUGAAGAAAGACCUCUUUAUGUAUUUGCAUCCAAGUAAGAGGCUUUCUGGAGCUGUUCAAAGCUCUGUGGUUAAAGCUGGAAACGUAAAGUGUGCUCACAGGGAGGGCACGGUGUCUGGUGAAACAAAUAAUUUGCCUUUUGGAUUUUAGGGAGCUCCAGAACGUUGGGCAAGAGGAGCUCGUGUAGAAAGUCAUUUCUGCUUGUCUGUGUAAUGCUAUCACAUUAGAAUGUCCUGAAGUAUUAGUAAGUUGUCAAGUGUUGAUGUUUUUAUCUAAAUUUCCUGGGAAAAGAUGCACAUCUUUUAUCCUAUCCUAUGUAAGGAUCUGUAGUUCUCAGACUGAGUUUAGAUCGAAGUUGCUGGCAGAAGAGUCAUAAAUUGGAUAAUUUAAAUGCCAAAUUCCCCUCUGCUGGGACGUGCAGGUUUGCGAAGUGUGCUGAGCAUGUCCCGGGUGAGGCUCUGAAAAACAAACAUUGAAAACUGCCAGUGUGUCAGGUAGUCAGAUACAUCUUGAUACAGUUUCAAGCCACCUGAAGAGAUGCACUUCUCUAAAAUGGCACCUUAUUCCAGCAGUGGAAACUGUGAAAUGAUGGAAAUAUGAGUGGCUGCACAGAAACCCCCAAGUUUCUAUGCGUGAGUGUAAUUUUUGAUAGGACAAGGGGGAAUGGUUUUAAACUGAGACAGGGGAGGUUUAGGUUGGAUAGUAGGAAGAAGUUUUUCACACAGAGGGUGGUGACGCACUGGAACAGGUUGCCCAAGGAGGCUGUGGAUGCCCCAUCCUUGGAGGCAUUCAAGGCCAGGCUGGAUGUGGCUCUGGGCAGCCUGGUCUAGUUGUUGGCAACCCUGCCCAUGGCAGGGGGGUUGAAACUAGAUGAUCAUUGUGGUCCUUUUCAACCCAGGCCAUUCUAUGAUUCUAUGAAUCUUACUUUGGACAGCAGAGCAGUUCCUUGAAGUUGCAGUAACAGAUGGUCUCGCAGCCUUCCCCUUCCCAAAAGUGAUCCUGCAGGCUCUCAUCAACUCGCCGGAGGCUCGCCAUGCCUUCGGGGAUGCUGUGGCAGCUGUGGUUGUGCAGGAUCCUCUUGUAGCAUGAGGGCCGCCGGGAGGGCACUGUGUGGACACCCAGGAGGGCACUCAGCAGAAGCAGAACCAAGAGCAUCUUCAUUUUUGGAAAGUUUCCUGUGCAGCAGUGCUAAAUAGAAAUGAGGUAUGUGACAUGGACACAGCUGUUGGAUAGAUCUCUUUCCCCAAUCUGCUUUCUAUCUUAAAUUUUUCUGUCUUUCCUGUGAACUUCCGGAGGCUUGAGCCUCUGUGUUGGAGAGUGUUUUCUCCUAGGAGGUAAAUAAGAUUGCCAUGGAAUUGAUAUUCAUUGCUUUCUGUACAAUCACAGGAAUCCCAUCGCUAGGAACUGAGGCUCCUUUUUUCUGGCAAUUUUGUUGUUACUUGCCCUCUCACCUUGAGAAAAUUGCUCUGAGUUGGCUGUGUUCGCUCAGUGAUGUGAGUGAGCACAUUGCUGGCUACCAAGGCAGGGAGAACGUGAGUCUCAUUGCUUUCCAGGUGAUUUUGGCUGGUUGAGAAUGUUGAAAUGUGUCACUAACUUAACAUUAAUAGUAUGUUUCCCCAUAAAAAAAUACGAGCAUUCCUAGUUCUAACUAUGAUAACAUCUAGAAAGAUUUUGUUGUCUUUCAUUCCAUUGGCACUUAGUUGAUCCCUUUAUGCUGCCACUGCAGACUACUUCUGGGCUGUCACACGUGCAUACUGGAUAGGGUAUUCUAAACUAACCUGGACAUAUAAAGAGCAUUUGGAUGUUGCGUUGAGGGACAUGGUUUAGCAAGAACCAUUGGUGAUGGGCGAAUGGUUGGACUGGAUGAUCCUGUGGGUCUUUUCCAACCUUAGUGAUUCUAUGAUUCUAUGAUAAUUAGCAACAAAACACCCUCUGAGCAAAUGCCAACUUCACGUGCCAUAGCUUUUAUCUAGAUAAGAAAAAAAUUGGGCAUGACAGGCAUAGAGAUCACUCAGAUAAUUGAUUCUUGCUUGUGUUAUUUGGUGGAACACUUGAGUCACCCUUGAAAAACAAGCAAUAAUCUAUUAAACAUAUACAUUAAUGUACUUAACUACCAUAGCUAUCUUGCUGAUAUUGUUUCUUCAGCCGAUGAAUGGCAAGCUGGAUACAACUUAGAAAAUCUGGUAAUUUGAAUUCACAUUAAGGAUCAAGUGUUACGCUUUGAUGCUCUUGAAUUAUAUUUUCCGUAAGAUUUUGUGCAAUCUUUUUUUUUUUUUAGCAUCACUAACCCAGUAAAGUGUUAAAAAUUGGCUAAUACGUUAAGGAAUACGACUACAAUGAAAAUAAACUCUUGUGUAUUUUCAGACUUCCGUCGUAGGAACAAAAUUAAUUGAACAGUUCCUUCUAGUUUCUGUGAACUUGUACAUGAACUUUUGAGUAGGAGGCUCCUAUAAACUACUGGUAAUGGAGCCUUGGGGAUCUAUUUUCAAAUUGCCUUAGAGUGCGGUAUUGAAUAACGCACUGUCUUUAUUAGUUUUAGGCCUCAAAACCACUUCUCUAAUAAAGUAAAAAUUGUUCUAACUUUGUCUGAUGUUAUUUUUUGGACGCAAGUAAAGAAACUGCAUUGUUAUAAUAAUAACUUUGUUCUGUAGUAGAAAUACUGCAGUUAUGAGGGUGCUGCUCAGAGAUGAGUAAUGCUCAAAGAAGUUUGUGCUGUACCUUGAUAAACAUCAGUGUUGAGGAAUACAGUUUAACAUUUUUCUGUUCAAAUAAUUGAACUUCAUUAUGUAAGUAUUUAAUGGAAGGAACGUUCCAUGCGAGAGAAAUUUAGGAAACAGAUGAGGUUUUUGCCUUUGUGUUCUGUGGUUGGAUUAUUCUGCGAGUUGCUCCCCUGAGGAUGAGGCAUUCAUAAUAUCUUGUAUGCGUUUUUUGUGCUUAAUUUGGAUGAGUUUUCCCUACAUGGAGUUUAGCUGGAGUGUUCAUUUCAAUCUGUUGCCAGCUGCCAAUCUGCUCUAAAUUAGUAGGAACACAUUCUGUCCCGAAAACUGACAGAUUUUCUGCAGGCUGUCAAAUUGCUGGAUUCAAGAAUCGUGAUCUGCAGUUGAGGAUAACUCAGUAUUCACUUUGGAGUACAGCAAGAUGUUGCUGUAGUGCAUCAUUGAGACUCGAUAUGGAUGGCUGCCAAAAGUGGUAUUAGCAAAGUCAUGUGCCAGUGAGCUGUGGAUAGACAGCUUCGCUCACAGGCUGGUUAUGCAUCUUGCCUACUCAGUACUGCUGCUUUUCAGAACAGUACUUUAUUAAAAUCAUUUUUUUUCCUGAAUGCUUCCUGUUUCUGUGUGGUUAGUAACUGAAAGGAAACUUUCAGUUAGAAGAACUUUCUUCAAAAGAUUGCUCCUUUACUGUAGAAGAAUGAUGCCUGCUUGCAGGUGAAAUAUUGCUAAGGACCUGGAGUGUUUCAGCAGUUCCCUGAACAGGGUCAGUGGUGAUAAACCCAGCAGACCUUGCAGAUGCAGAAUCUUAUGUUUUCUGACAAACUGCUGCAAAUUCUUCCAAACCUCAGUGAUGAAAUAUCACUUGAUUUCUUAGGUAAACAGAGCUAGAAAGUGCAUAUUUGUAUCAAAAUGUAUGUCAAAGACCUUAUCUGCCUUUGCUUAGCAUGGAAACAGUCUUCUCUUGUAAAACAAAUCAGGGAAAUUUGAACAAAUCCGAUCUCCAAAGUGACCCACAGAAUCAUUGCCAGCAAACUGUGUUACAUUUAUGUAAAGCCUUCUGAAAAAGCUGCAAUGCCAGCCACGCUAAGCCUGACCAGACUGCUCUAUCAAGACCGUAUCACUUCCAAUUCUAACAGAGGAGUUAAGCCAUCUACAAAUAUUUAAAAUGAGCUCCUGGCAGUUGCAGAAAUCCAUUUUAAGGAAUUAACUCCCUGGUUACUUUGAUACAGCGUAAGUAAAGUUCAGGGAAGACGUUCAGCUGGGCAAACAAACGCUUUGAACGACUGUUAGAAUUUUGCAUGGAGGAAACCAUUUUGUUGGAGAUUAUGUGGUGUGAUUCAGGAAUUACUGCUAUCCCUGCUCUUUCAGUGGAGAGCAUCCGGGUUGUCCUGCCAAGCAAUUUGGCACCAUCUCACAGUCAGAAUAAGACCAAACAAACAAACAAAAAACAAGUUUCAGCAUCCAGAUCUGUGAAUUAAAGGGUAAUAUUUAAUGAGGAUGGUGAUGCGCUUUGAAGUCCCUGUGAUACUGCUGGGGAGCUCUGGUGCAAGCAGUAGGAGAAAGAAGCAGGGAAAAUGGAGGAAUGGCACAAAAAUAUAUGUCUUGCUGUAUCUAGGAGAUCCUUCAGGUUUAGGAAAAUAUGCGUGUUUAAAAUUGUUGACUCUUAACUGUACUUUUCAGAGUUGUUAUGCUUUUCUGUGCAUCUCCAGUUGCCUAAUCCUAAAAAUGAACAAUGCCCUCAUCUGAUACUGACGUGGUGUAUGAUCUUUUCCAGUCAGUCCAGUGAUGUGCUGGGUUAGCAAGCUGGCUAAUUGUGCCUUAAAAAGUGAAGCGAAUGUUGUUUUCUAUAUGUGUUAUAUGUAGGCAUCACACUCUCAAUGUGCAUGGAGUUCAAGAGCUAAAAAUGCCCACUCAGAAUUAAAUUCCCUUUAAUCAUUUGUUAUUUGUCAGGUUAUCUUUCAGAAACACCUGCAAUUCCUGGCUUCAAGGUUCUGUAAAGAGCAGAACACUGAAUAUUUCAGUGUUAGUGCAUUAUAGGUAGACUUAUUAGUGCAUUUGCAAGAAAUCAUUACACAAGAACUGCAUAACUGAUAUUAUUAUAAAGAACUUUCUUCCAUAAAGUAUUCAAAUCUGUUUUGCCUGAACAGUUGGUGCAUUGUGAGGACAGCAGCUAUUCCACUGAGGAUGAAUUUGGUGAAUUGCUGCUUUGUAAUUCCCAUCAAUACCAUGAUUCUUUCCAGAAAUUGAGUUCUCAUUAAAAUCUAUUUAGUUCUUUUAAAGUCAGCAAUUUGUUGUGAGCGCACCUCUCUGCAUUUACCAUCUUUGCAAUAAUAUUGAGUACAGGAAGGCAAUAUAGCACAUUUAAUGGCUUCGGAUGUUAAUAUCUAACAUCCAACCUUGAAGAAGGGCAAGAUAGGAAAGAAGGAUCUUUAAUUGGAUCAUAUCCACGCAUCUGUCUCAACUAACAUCUUUUGCCUACAGUGUAUCUGAUUUUCCCAAAUCAUCUUCUGUAUGUUCCCACAUAUAUUCCUAAUUCUGCAGCCUGUAACUAGCACCAGAAGAACAUGUGCACAAGGAUAAUUGCAGGAACUAGACAUACCUUUUUCUUCUGCUUCACUCCUUUUCACUUUCUUAGCAGCUGUAUCUUUUCAGAUGUACACAGAGCUAGAGCUGGAGGGGAUGAGCAGAGGGAGGGCUGAUGGAGGUGCUGGACAAACAGCCUUUUGUCUGGCCUGGCUUCUGCCUGUGAGUGACACGCUCCCUGCUCCAGAGAGGGGCAGAGGAUGGGCUUCAAGAACUGCCUCUUUCAGACACUGCCAACCUUGAUGAGGGAAAGAACAGAGAGUGCAUCCCUUCCAGCAGGAAGCACUUAGUCUAUCCAGGACCUGAUGGCGAGAUGUGUCCUCAGAGAGCAAACCACAACACUCAGAAUGAGUGGCGAAAGUGCCCUGUGGAAUACGUGCCCUUCUGUGCCACCCGAGCAGGGCUGCGCUGAGCAGGGCAUGCAGCCAGCCAGCAGGCUUGUGUAACCCCUGCCUCUGAGAUUCUGUUUUUCGAGACUGAAAGAAUGGAGAACUGUAAUUGUUUUAACCAGAUUCUUGUAUGGCCUUCGAUAUGACCCCAUGCACUGAAUUCAUCACUGGCUAAUGUUUAAUCAAGAGGUAAAGGGUUACACUGAACAGUUUUCAGGGGAAGUUAUUUUAGACUAAUUUAACUAUUCAAGUAAUCUGGUGUGAUAAAAACACACAAAAUGGUCCUUGAAUAGAUCUGAAGCAUAAUGUAUUAAUGAGGAAACAAUCUCUGGGGUAAACUCUGGCACUUGGUCAAUGUCCUUACAUUUCUUUUGCAGUUUGGGUCCCUCUUUUGUUUGGGUCAUCCUGUCUCUAUUUCCUCACGUGGAUAGGGAAGUACAAUUGUACCUUAGAUUUUGAUCCUUAGUUUUUUACAUUUUCUAGUAUCUAGUGCAUCAUUUUGGUUCUUCCAUUUCUUUGUAAGGACCUGUAGUUCUAUAUCUGUUGGGCUGCUUCCACUGCAGGGGUUUGUUAGGAGUGUGAAUAGGUACCUCUGCUCAGCUGCUCCAAUUUACAAUUUAACUUCUUGAUGCUGUGAUGCUUGCAGCUGUUACACCUGCAUGUGCCCUCUGUUGGGAGCACAACCAGCAGGGCAUUUCCCUCCAUGCUGCAGAAGGGAGCAGGAUGUGUGCUUGUACCUCUGCAGGAUGCCUUUGCCUUUUCAGGAUGACAAGAUGCCUUGCUCUGGUUUUCUACAGGAAUUCUUUUCCAGUGUGGAUCCUAGCCCUUGCUGUUCAUCCUCUAAAUGAGAUUAUUAUAAUGCCUCUGUGAAGUGGCAGUGUCUCAGUUCCUGGGAGGGUCCUCCCUGAGCAGCAGGUAAGCAGUCUGAGGAGGGGUCACUUUGUUUAUAAAAUGGAGUGAGCGGGAAGAUCAUUCUUCUGAAAACAUUCUGCUUUGCUUUGAGAAGAGACUGAUCUAACAAAAAUACUGUUUUGAUGGUGCAUUGGUGCUUCUCCCUGUCCCUGCUCUGUAGGUCCAUGUUUGAUGUCUCCAGUCACUGCGAACAUUCAGAAACAGGAGGAAAUUUUCUCCCUUGUGGUGCUUCUUCAGUAUAGAAGCUGGGAAGUAAAUUUGAGAUUUGGAAGAAGCAAAGGUUUUAGGUGAGAUGGGGGUGAGAUGCAACCAAAGGCUACAUUGACUGAUAUAGGAACAGCUCUCUGAGGUGUGAAAAUUGAGGUAGGUAGGUUCCUUGUUCAAGGAACAUUUGGAUGUUGUGUUGAG